rnacentral:misc_RNA from 3 species
AACGCACAUUGCGCCCCUUGGUAUUCCGGGGGGCAUGCCUGUUCGAGCGUCAUUAUAACCAAUCCAGCCUGGCUGGGUCUUGGGCAUCGCUGUAUAGCGGGCCUUAAAAUCAGUGGCGGUGCUCUCAUGCUCUACGCGUAGUAACUUUCUCGCUAUAGGGUGAUGGGAGAUGUUAGCCAACAACCCCCCAUACUUUCAAGGUUGACCUCGGAUCAGGUAGGGAUACCCGCUGAACUUAA